rnacentral:rRNA from 1 species
AUUACCGCGGCUGCUGGCACGUAGUUGGCCGGUGCUUCUUCUGUACCUACCGUCACUCUCGCUUCGUCGGUACUGAAAGAGGUUUACAACCCGAAGGCCGUCAUCCCUCACGCGGCGUUGCUGGAUCAGGCUUCCGCCCAUUGUCCAAUAUUCCCCACUGCUGCCUCCCGUAGG